CAGGUUUGCCAAACUGGGGCAGCUGAAGGGCUACUAGGGCCAGCAGCAACUCCCCUUACGUUGAGAAAUCUGUCUUCCUCUACAACACUGGGAACCAAUCAAAAGAUGACAAAUACUACAUUCAGUUGGUGAUGCACAGAACAAUGAAAAUGGAGUCAGCAAUCUAUGGCCUACAGUGGGAUUCAGCCUGCAAAGAGAUUUUAUCCAGCCCACCGUGCUGGGCCAGUGGCACUCAGCAGCUCGGGGAAUCAAUGGCAAUCAGCACUCAGGAAAAACAGCAAUG